UGGCGAUUGGCAAUGAAAAAAAAAACCACCAAUUACUGUUUAACUGUUUUUAUGACCAUUUAAAAAAAAACAUGUUUUUAAGACCGUUGCUUCAACGAUGUUAACAGUUUUAUUACCCAAAUAACGAAAUCGGUGAGAAAAAGGAGAAAAUGAGUUUGGUUGUUGCUCCUCCUCACAGAUCGAUGAUCCACUGCAAAACCCCAAAAUUUCGCUUCAAAAAUCCACAAAAUCUCUUCGGUAAAACCUUGACUUUCUACUCUCUGAAGUCUCCGAUUCACUUCAAUUCGUUGCUUUGCCUACCAGUCAACUCAGUCCGUCCAGAGUCCCCCUCCAUUCAGACCCAUCAUCCCAUUCAGGAACUACUCCCUCUCCUUGCUUUCUCAUUGACCCUUUUGUGUUUUCGUCUUUUGUCCAAUGUCCUUUUGCCCGAUUUCGCUCUUCGUUGGCAAAGCCUCGUUGCUUUCUCUCGUGAAGCUGAAGCUCGGACCAAAUCUUAUCCAAAACAUCUAUGGGAAGCCAUCGUUGCUUACGAGGAUCGUCGCUUCUUUACACAUUUUGGGAUCGAUCCAGUUGGCAUUGGUCGAGCUGUUUUGUCGCUUUCGGCUCGUGGGGGAGGUAGCACCAUAACUCAGCAGCUUGUGAAGAACACCUUCCUGAAAAAUGAGCGCACAUUCUGGAGAAAGAUCCUGGAAAUGGUGUUGGCACUGGCACUAGAAAGGACAAUGUCAAAACAAAGAAUAUUGAGCUCUUAUGUUUGUAAGAUAUACUUGGGACAUGGUAUUAAUGGCAUUGAAUCAGCAUCAAAAUUUUAUUUUGGGAAGCAUCCAUCUCAACUGAGCUUGGCCGAGUCUGCAAUGCUUGCUGGACUUAUACCAGCCCCAGAGCAUAGAUCGCCACUCAGGGAUCGCAGCAGUGGCAAGACCUACCAGGCCAGAGUUCUGAAAAGGAUGGUGAAAUUUGGCUUCCUUGAUAUUAAGAUGGCACUUUUAACAGUGAGACAACCUCUUUAUGUACGUCUUAGAAGGCCAGAACAUGCUGAUGAACUUUCAGAUGCGUCAUCUUUCUCUGAGCUGGGAGUUGGACUAAAGAGCAAGGUGAAUGAAGAAGGUACGGAAUCAACACUAAAAGGUACAUGGGACUGGGAAAGAGAAAGCAAAAUACGAGAAGUAUGUGAGGAGAUGGAAAGAUGGGCCAUGAAGGCUGAACUCAGAAGUUCUUAAGACGAUCCACUGCUGGUAACAAUGACUAAUCUCCUCACCGUAGAUGCUCACGAAAGAGGCAAACAACUAACCAUAAAAUGUGCUCUUCGAAGAGGUCGAUUUGAUUCUCUCAAGAAGCAUGGUUCAUUAGUGUCAACAUAAAACACCUUCAAUUGUGACACGAGAAAAUAUACAAACACACUCCGGGAACUUGAGCUUUGAAGGCAGCAAUGGAGCUUUUCGUAACUCAUUUUAUUGUGGUGGCUUAUUAAGAACGAAGAAAACUGAUGUAUAUACCUUGCUCUCUGGUACAAAUCGUGUAAAUGUAUUAGAUGGAGAAUACUAACGGACAGCAAGGUAUUGUCACAGCAGGUGUUCAUUUCUAUGAACAAACCAACGUGUUCUCGUCAACUUUUGACAUCCCCGGGUUCAAAACAUAGCCAUCCCUGCGGCAACCCCCGGAUUCUAAGUAAAUCCUUUUGUCCAAA